AGCAGAAAUAAAGCCCUUAAUAAAUGGCAGAUAUUGUUAUUAUACAUGGAUAUUUCCUUUAUACAAGCUGUCAUAGGUAAGAGUCCUUUGUUUGUUUGGACCUUUGAUCAUUUUCAUUUGCAAGAUAUUUUCUUUGCUAUGAAUUUAGAACAAACUAUUUGUAUAUUUGGCAACCUAUUUGUACAAAACAGCAUGCAUCGCCCUGAAUCUCUUUAUGUCCCAAGUCCCCAUCCUCAACAACUCUAGAGGAUUGCUCUGUUUUGAGGAGAUAAAGGACAAAAGGAAUCCCAUAUUCAGUUGCAAUUAAGUAAGGAAUUAUUUCUGAAGAGAUAAUUGAGGAGCAGAUUUUUGCAGAGAAGCAAGAUACCGAUGGAGAGAGUAGAAAUGAAUUUGUAGGCCACUGGGCGUGUGUGUGUGUGUGUGUGUGGGGGUGGCAUGAGGAAAGAUACGGAGAUGAAAAUGAGCAUAUCACUUAUAUGAGAUAGCAGGCAGCUAUUGCUGGGGAGAGCAGAGAGGCUGUGGUGAGAGGUAAUGAGAAAUGAAGGUGGGAUGGGAUCCUGGGGGUGUAAUAUUAGUGGAAAGGGCUGAAGGCCAGGGAGGGCUUGGGGUGUGCAUAAUAAGUGACACUGGAGCACCACAGACUGCUGAGCAGGCAAAGGACCUGAAGAAAAUGAAGUUAGAGGAAAAUCAUUAGAGCAUCUGUGAGUAGGUGGGAUCUGAUGAAAAGAGACUGGAGGCAGAGAAACUGGCUCAGAAGCCAUCACUGCAACUCGGAUGUGGGCUGAUGAGGACCCUGGGCUGGCUGCCUAUGCGAGUGGAGAGGAAAUGGGUUCACCUCGAGCCUCGGUGUGUCAGGCCUGGGAACAAGAGGAGCAAGUUUGCCACGAGACUUUGGUACUUCGUGAGACACCUCAGAGGUUCUAACAGCCUCUCUGCAGCUGGCGAGUACAAGAUGAAGCAAGGUGUUUCUGAGAGCUGGAAUUGGUCCAGGAGUUGUCUUGGAUGCCACUGGAUCACAAGGUGCCAUGGCCCAGGGUCUCUAAUGAUUGACAGGUGAUGAGCCCUUAGCACAGCUAGCUCUAUUUGGUCCUUUGCGGACACUGAUAUUUCACUGUCGUCACUGAAACGUGGCUCUCUUUGCAGUCUAUGUAACUAGUGUGGUCAGCGUUAGAAGUAAAAUCUCUUGCUUAUAAAAGGCUUCCAUGAAUAUGUUAGUUUGGAAUGCCUUUCUCAACUUGCUCUGUGCACAAGGAGAGGAAAGGCGGUGCCCUUUCAAGUUUAACCAGAUCACAGAAUGACUGUUAUCUUUAACACUUUUAAGGUACCCUUAACUGUGAAGUAAAGUGUAAAUUAGCAGGAAAAACAUGUUUGGUUUCCUGACGAAGAGGGAGAAGUUUCAACAGUUGACAUCCAGCUGAUUUUUUGGUUUUGGCUCAUAAGUGUUCUGUUUUUAAUAGUGCUGACAAAACUUCUGAAAGUGAGGCAUAUAGUGCAUAAAAGAACACAAGUCCCCAUCUUAAAGAAUCUUGUUGGAUUAAUUUCCUACAGCAUAUAUAUGUUUUGUUUAUAGAAUUUAUUAAUAAUGUGCAUCUUAUGCACCUUUUUUGUAUUACAGAGAUACAUAUAUAUGUAGCAGUAUAAUGUUUGCAUCUUUUUCAAGUUCAAUCUCCCAAUUUAGUGAACUUUAAUAUUUUCUAAUUAUGUUAACUUCUUUUUUACUCAAAACACGGUAAAUUGUGAUUAUUUUACUCCAUUAAAAAUACUUUCAGAUGGUCCAAAGAUUUAAAUUAAGUGCGCGUGUUAUGUUGGUAUUUAAUUACAUGCUUGAGAUUUCUAUUGCCAGUGAAAAUAUUUUACUCUCUUUAGAAAUAAAUUUAUACUUCAUAUUGAUAGCUUUAAUAAA
rnacentral:lncRNA from 12 species